UCUUAAGUAGUUUAUAUAAAAUGUUGAUUUGUGGUGUCAAAGAUGUAAUUUAUUACCUUGGAUG
rnacentral:tRNA from 1 species